UGGGGAAUAUUGGACAAUGGGCGCAAGCCUGAUCCAGCCAUGCCGCGUGAGUGAUGAAGGCCCUAGGGUUGUCAAGCUCUUUCACCGGUGAAGAUAAUGACGGUAACCGGAGAAGAAGCCCCGGCUAACUUCGUGCCAGCAGCCGCGGUAAUACGAAGGGGGCUAGCGUUGUUCGGAUUUACUGGGCGUAAAGCGCACGUAGGCGGACUUUUAAGUCAGGGGUGAAAUCCCGGGGCUCAACCCCGGAACUGCCUUUGAUACUGGAAGUCUGGAGUAUGGUAGAGGUGAGGGGAAUUCCGAGUGUUGAGGUUAAAUUCGUAGAUUUUCGGAGGAACACCAGUGGCGAGGGCGGCUCACUGGACCAUUACUGACGCUGAGGUGCGAAAGCGUGAGGAGCAAACAGG
rnacentral:rRNA from 1 species